rnacentral:rRNA from 1 species
AACGAACGUUGGCGGCGUGGAUUAGGCAUGCAAGUCGAACGAAUCCCAGCUUUGUAGCAAUACCGAGCUGGGGGAAGUGGCGAAAGGGGCAGUAAUGCAUGGACAACCUACCCUGGGGACUGGGAUAGCCUUUCUAACGAAAGGGUAAUACCGGGCGAUGUGGUUGAGGGGCAUCUCUUGACCAUGAGAUGAAUUUCGCCUCGGGAGGGGUUCAUGUCGUAUUAGCUUGUUGGCGGGGUAACGGCCCACCAAGGCAAAGAUGCGUAGCGGGUGUGAGAGCACGACCCGCGCCACUGGCACUGAGACACUGGCCAGACUCCUACGGGAGGCUGCAGUCGAGGAUCUUCGGCAAUGGGCGCAAGCCUGACCGAGCGACGCCGCGUGUGCGAUGAAGGCCUUCGGGUUGUAAAGCACUUUAGUGGGGGAGAAAGCCGAAAGGUUGAUCUAUCCCAAGAAUAAGCACGGGCUAAGUUCGUGCCAGCAGCCGCCGCGUAAAAC